rnacentral:sRNA from 1 species
GCUGGGCAUGGUGGCGCACUCCAGUAAUCCCAGAGACUCAGGAGGCUAAGACAGGAGGAUUCCAAGUUUGAGGACAACCUCAGCAACUUUGCAGACCCUGUCUCAA